GAUGAACGCUGGCGGCGUGCCUAAUACAUGCAAGUCGAGCGAACAGACGAGGAGCUUGCUCCUCUGACGUUAGCGGCGGACGGGUGAGUAACACGUGGAUAACCUACCUAUAAGACUGGGAUAACUUCGGGAAACCGGAGCUAAUACCGGAUAAUAUAUUGAACCGCAUGGUUCAAUAGUGAAAGACGGUUUUGCUAUCACUUAUAGAUGGAUCCGCGCCGCAUUAGCUAGUUGGUAAGGUAACGGCUUACCAAGGCAACGAUGCGUAGCCGACCUGAGAGGGUGAUCGGCCACACUGGAACUGAGACACGGUCAGACUCCUACGGGAGGCAGCAGUAGGGAAUCUUCCGCAAUGGGCGAAAGCCUGACGGAGCAACGCCGCGUGAGUGAUGAAGGUCUUCGGAUCGUAAAACUCUGUUAUUAGGGAAGAACAAAUGUGUAAGUAACUAUGCACGUCUUGACGGUACCUAAUCAGAAAGCCACGGCUAACUACGUG
rnacentral:rRNA from 1 species